CUGGCUCAGGAUGAACGCUAGCGACAGGCCUAACACAUGCAAGUCGAGGGGCAGCGCGGGAGAAGCUUGCUUUCCUGGCGGCGACCGGCGCACGGGUGCGUAACAGGUGUGCAAUCUGUCCAUAGUCGGGGGAUAGCCCAGCGAAAGCUGAAUUAAUACUCCAUGUGAAUCGAAGCCGCAUGACUUUGAUUUGAAACGUAAGGACUAUGGGUGAGCACGCUUCUGAUUAGGUAGUUGGUGGGGUAACGGCCCACCAAGCCGACGAUCAGUAGGGGUUCUGAGAGGAAGGUCCCCCACAUUGGAACUGAGACACGGUCCAAACUCCUACGGGAGGCAGCAGUGAGGAAUAUUGGUCAAUGGGCGAGAGCCUGAACCAGCCAAGUCGCGUGAAGGAUGAAGGUUCUAUGGAUUGUAAACUUCUUUUGUCCGAGGGUAAAAAAGGCCACGUGUGGCUUCUUGCAAGUAUCGGACGAAUAAGCAUCGGCUAACUCCGUGCCAGCAGCGGC
rnacentral:rRNA from 1 species